UACGAAGGGGGCUAGCGUUGCUCGGAAUGACUGGGCGUAAAGGGCGCGUAGGCGGAUGGUACAGUCAGAUGUGAAAUUCCCGGGCUCAACCUGGGGGCUGCAUUUGAUACGUGCUGUCUUGAGUUCGGAAGAGGGUCGUGGAAUUCCCAGUGUAGAGGUGAAAUUCGUAGAUAUUGGGAAGAACACCGGUGGCGAAGGCGGCGACCUGGUCCGAGACUGACGCUGAGGCGCGAAAGCUAGGGGAGCAAACGGG
rnacentral:rRNA from 1 species